rnacentral:rRNA from 1 species
AGAUUGAACGCUGGCGGCAUGCUUUACACAUGCAAGUCGAACGGUAACAGGCCGCAAGGUGCUGACGAGUGGCGAACGGGUGAGUAAUGUAUCGGAACGUGCCCAGUCGUGGGGGAUAACGCAGCGAAAGCUGCGCUAAUACCGCAUACGAUCUAUGGAUGAAAGCGGGGGACCGUAAGGCCUCGCGCGAUUGGAGCGGCCGAUAUCAGAUUUAGGUAGUUGGUGGGGUAAAGGCUCACCAAGCCAACGAUCUGUAGCUGGUCUGAGAGGACGACCAGCCACACUGGGACUGAGACACGGCCCAGACUCCGUAACGGGAGGCAGCAGUGGGGAAUUUUGGACAAGUGGGCGACAACGGCCUAGGACUCCAGCAAUCGGCCGCGGUGCCGAAGGAAGAAGGCCCGUUCGGGUUGUUAAACGUGUCGUUUUAGUAACGAACGUAAACGUCCGUUAGGUUAACUACCGUGG